AGUGCGUGUAAUUUAAAAAAAAUAUCAAGCCGUGACCCUGAUCAUAGGAACUUUACCCUCACGCACCC
rnacentral:tRNA from 1 species